CAUAUGGUUAAUUUUGUUUGUUACAACAAUAACUAUUCACUUGUUAUGGUUGUUAGAAAAUAAAGUAUAUUUUUAAAUUAUAAAAGUCAGAAACCUAUACUUGUAUGUAUUUACAGUGUAAAUGUCUCUGAUAAAAAUCAAAAAUAUUUGUUGCUGAAUUUGUUCUAUUCAGUAUAUUUUUUCGUGCCUUUUUUUACUCGUGUCAUUCGUCACAACUAGGUAGUUUCCGUACCUUCAGCGGAUUCGCCCGAGGGUUGUCGAUUGUUACUUGUGUCAUUCGUCGCAACUCGGCCAAUUCCGUACUUUCAGCGGAUUCACCCGAUGAUUGCCGAUUGUUAUUUGCGUCUAUCUGACCAUUUUUAAUCCUGUCCAGUCUUCCAUUACAUUAUCUUGUAUUUUAUAUGAUCAAACAUUCUGUGAUAGAUAUGUGUUAUGCAGCUUUUGUCUAUUUUGAUAUUUAUAUUAAAAAAUAUGAUUUAAUAUACUGUUUCAUUUUUUGAUUUUUACCAUGACAGUGUCACCUAGGAAUAAAUAUAUAUAUAUAUAGGAAGAUGUGGUAUAAGUACCUAUAAGACAUCUCUCUAUUCAAGUCACAAUUUAUAUAAGGAAAUCAUAAUAGGUCAAGGUACGGUCUUCAACACGGAGCCUCGGCUCACACCGAUCAACAAGCUAUAAAGGGCCCCAAAAUUACUAGUGUAAAACCAUUCAAACGGGAAAACCAACGGUCAAAUUUAUAUAAAAAAAAACGAGAAACACUUAUGAACCACAUCAAAAACGAUAACUACUGAACAUCAUAUUCCGGAC
rnacentral:lncRNA from 1 species